GCCCGGUUAGCUCAAUCGGUAGAGCGUGAGACUCUUAAUCUCAAGGUUGCGGGUAAGUAAAAAACCCAUUGGCAAAAAUAAGAGCACCCAGAUUUAAUAUUUAAUUCCAACAACAGGUUCGACCCCCGCAUUGGGCU
rnacentral:tRNA from 1 species